AGAAAUAUCUAAAAAUUAAGCUGCUAACUUAAUUAAUAGUGGUUAAAUUCCAUUAAUAUUUCUA
rnacentral:tRNA from 1 species